GGCGUUCGAGCGAGCGAGAGAGAGAGCGCGGCAAUUUUCCCCUGAAGUUCGGUUGUUGGAGACUUAAUAUACGCUGUAUAUAGGCCCACACUAACUUUUUCCCAUUUUUUUUCUUUCAAGUCUAACGGUGUUUGUUAGCGUGAAAGUAGACAUUGUCUGUGUGUUUCGGUUCUGUGAGGAGCUCCAGCUCCAGGCUGUAUCGCUAAACUGGCUGCUUCUCAACGAAGAGGACUGAACUCUCCACGCUGCUGCUGUGUGGAUGGACAAAGAGGACCAGAGUCUUAACAAAGAUCAUCGCAUUUUGUGUGAGACGCGAGUAGGUGCUUGUGGGCGCUUCGGCUCAUCUCCAUAUGAGUCAUGGACUUUCAUGCUGUCCUGCAGCAGGUGUCACUAUGUUCUGCUGUUACAGCUGCUGACAGUCAUAGCUGGCUCUUUUCCUUCAGUAAAGGUGAAUCUUCAUGAGGCUGCUACUCUCCCCUGCACUCAGACGUGUUCUGGUCUGGUCACAUGGACUGUGUCCUAUAAACAACUUGACAUUCUGGCUCAGUGUAACCAGACAUCCUGCCAGUCAGAGGAGGGAUUUCACAUGUCCCAUGAUCAGUACCUGAAGGGAGAUCUCUCCCUCACCAUCACUGAUGCUGAUUACACUAAGAGGACCUGGUACACCUGCGCUUGUAAUGGUAAAGACAUCUGUGAUGUGAGUCUACAGAUAGAGGGAACUGGAGCUGAACUGCCUCUGUCCCACAAUCCCUCUCGAUCCCAUCACAGUGACCACUCUGAUGUCCAGCCAUGUCCAGAUCAGAGCUCCACAGUGACGGUGUUGACGGUGCUCCUGGCUCUGACGGGGGCGGGGCUUGUGGCAGCAGUGCUGGUGAUUGUGCAGCUGAGGAAAAAAAUUCAGGAGCUCUAGAAAGGAAGUACAGUGAAUGGAACAGUAACCAUGACAACAGAGGAGUUAAUAUGAAUGGACUAAACCACUCAGAUGAAGAGCAGAGGUGAUCUCCCAAUAAUAACCAUGAGAGUCUGAGAGAUGAUAAAUUAUUUCGUUCUCUUUUACACACACACAAACGUAUCUGCACUGCUUUUCUCUGUCCCAUUCAGGGGUCAAAGAUCAGUGUAUGUUCAGUCAUGCAUGAUCAGAGUUUUAUCACAUUAGCUCUGCUGAAGCUCACCUGGUAGAGCAGGUACAGUAAGAUUUGAUCCUCAGAGAGCACACAUGCUGUCAUACUGAUGAAUAUGUAUCAGUCACUAUAAGAGGAUCUGCCCAGUACUGUAAAUGUAAUGUAAAGAUGUUUAUUUAAAUAUUACUGUGAGAUCCUGUGAUGUGAUUUAAUGCACGUUAAAUACUUUUGUGUUAGCUCAUGGAAAAAACGGACAUUUUGUCUGGAGCAUCUUUGAAUAGUUUAAAUAUUUUAGUUGCCAUUUGUCAACAUGUUUUAAUUAAGAGUCCCCCUUAUUGUUCAGGUUAUAAUUUCAAGAGUCUCCCUUAUUGUUCAGGUUAUAAUUUCAAUAGUCUCCCAUGUGGUCUUGGUGAUUAUGGUCAGUUGUUGUGGUUGGUUUUCCCAAUGCUGUAAUGCUGCAUUCAUUUCAAAGCAUUGUAUUAUGGAAACAGGCCUCAUGUCAUUUGGCCUGCUUCAUGCCACUUGUGACAAAUCAUUAAACAAAUUUACUUGUGUUAUCUUUGUCCAAUAUUUAAAACACAAAAUGCAGUUUUUAAAUGAAGGUUUUUAUUAUUAACGAGAAAAUAAAUAGGACCUGCGAGACAAAGUGAAGUAGACCAAAAGAUCCUUAAAACUAGACAGCAUGCUGCGAGCCAAAGAAAUUCAGAAACUCAUCGUCUUACUUUCAGAUAUGUAAUGAGCAUUGAUUUAGGCAGAAAUUCACCAGGACACUUCACAACACAGUUAGUAAUGCUAUAAAAUGUCAUUUAAGAUAUAAUUG
ensembl:lncRNA